rnacentral:rRNA from 1 species
UACAGAGGUCUCGAGCGUUUGUUCGGAUUCAUUGGGCGUAAAGGGUGCGUAGGUGGCUAGGUAAGUCGGAUGUGAAAUCCCGGGGGCUCAACCCCGGGAACUGCAUUCGAUACUGCCUGGCUAGAGUACUGGAGAGGAGGAUUGAAUUUACGGUGUAGCAGUGAAAUGCGUAGAUAUCGUAAGGAAGACCAGUGGCGAAGGCGGAUCUCUGGACAGUUACUGACACUGAGGCACGAAGGCCAGGGGAGCAAACGGG